GAGUGUCACAGUUGAAGAAACACUGAUAUACAUAACCCCUUUCACUCUUUUAAUUGGGCAGAUAUGAAGAAUAUGAAGGACUGUACGGCGACAAGUGAUGCAGUGUGUACAUGUGAGGAGGGCUACAGAUGCAGUGACAGCAAAUGCCAGACGUGUGAGAAAAUUCAGACAACUACUGUUACUACUUCUACUCCUUCUACUAAAACAAUACCGCCCACCCAUGACAUGCACGACCAUGUGGAUGGAUCAUGUCAACAUCAAUCGGUCUCUGCCCCUCCAACAAGAGCAUCUUUGGAUCCAGUCAGUGCACAGAGGAAGAGGAGGUACCAAUGCCAGUGCAGGAGGUGUGUGGAAAGACUGAAAAACUGGAGGAUGUCUGAGAAAAGAGCAGGAAGAAGACCGCUGAUGCGUCUAUGGAUUGAGUAUUUACUCUAAUACAAACCUGCUGCUGCCAUUUACGCAAGAGAAAAUCUGCACUCAGGUGGCCCAUAUGAAGGAUCUGUGAGAAUGACUGUCCAUCCUGAGAAAUGCUGAGAUAGAGAGAGGUUUGAGUUGCCACUGCACAUAAGGAGACACUCAACAUACAACAUAAGGGCUUAUCUUUUUCAACAAAUGAAGGUUUUAUUCUCUGCACGCUUGUUUGUAUUUAUAAUCGAGUAGUUUUUGCACAACAAGCCCAUGGACUUUUUAAAAUCAAGAUUUGAUGUUCAAAUGUAUACGAAUGU
rnacentral:lncRNA from 1 species